CCAGACUCCUACGGGAGGCAGCAGUGGGGAAUAUUGCACAAUGGGGGGAACCCUGAUGCAGCGACGCCGCGUGAGUGAAGAAGUAUUUCGGUACGUAAAGCUCUGUCAGCAGGGAAGAAGAAAGGCGGUACCUGACCAAGAAGCCCCGGCUAACUACGUGCCAGCAGCCGCGGUAAUACGUAGGGGGCAAGCGUUAUCCGGAUUUACUGGGUGUAAAGGGAGCGUAGACGGCAAUGCAAGUCUGGAGUGAAAGGCGGGGGCCCAACCCCCGGACUGCUCUGGAAACUGUAUAGCUGGAGUGCAGGAGAGGUAAGUGGAAUUCCUAGUGUAGCGGUGAAAUGCGUAGAUAUUAGGAGGAACACCAGUGGCGAAGGCGGCUUACUGGACUGUAACUGACGUUGAGGCUCGAAAGCGUGGGGAGCAAACAGGAUUAGAUACCCGCGUACG
rnacentral:rRNA from 1 species